GGCAAUUGAGACAAAUUCUGUGACUAGUAUGGAAAUAUUUCUGCUGUCAUUCCAUUAACCUCAGGCACCAAAUUACUUUCAGGGAGCACUGAGGGACUGUCACUUGGCAGUGUGUGUUUCUGCCAGGCAGCCACGGAGAGGGGAGCACUGCUGGGGGGGAGGUCCCUCCUCAGCUGCCUCCCCCCACACACUGUGCCUGGGAGGUGCUUCCACAGACUGGAAAGUGAAGUACUGAAGCAUUUUGCUUUUCUCUUAAAUUUACUCCUCUGUAUUUCAACCGAGCACUGCAGAUUUUUAUCAUCCUCCCUUUUUGUACAUUUGUGAGAAUAAAUUAUAUCCUUCAGAGUUCUUUAUUCUUUAAGUGUGGGAGGGCAGAUCCUGUGGUCUGGUUCUGCCUCUUUUGUGUGACCUGUUGACUUUUGUGACUUGGAGUUAGGUCCCUGAUGGAGUAUUUGUUGCUAAGCUUCCUACCAGGAUGCUGAGAGGCAGACAAGUCGUUGUCAGCUGUGUGGCCAGACACCCUGAUAUUGCUGCUUCGCUACUCACCUGUGCCAGGGGAAAUUCUUCUUUGACUUGGACAUGCACAAGGUUUUUUCAAACUUCAGAGCAGUGGGAGAAGCUGUGCCAGAUUGAUCAAGCACCAAUUUUGAUCAUUAAAGCCCUCAAAGUUCAUUUUGUGAUUGGUGUGGCAAAUUAUAGGAACAUUGGAAUACCAUUCACUGAAGGGCUGGGAGUGGUGUCUGAGGUCUGCUCCCCUUAUCAGUUUCUGGCACUGUUUUAAGUGACUAUUUUGAGAUACAUGGGAAGGCUUUGUUUUCAGAAGUUGGAAUGGUACCCUUUUUCAUACGGUUGUACCUGUAUUCUGGACUCCUGGAGGAACAAACUGCAGGUAAUGAAAACCCCUCAAUACAAAGACAUUAAAGGCUGACAUAGAAGCUUUCUUGAUGACACAGAUGUUAAUGUCGAGCAAUAAUAAGAAGACAGAGACGUAUCUGCAAUACAGUUCUACCAGAAAAAUAAAAAUCAGGAAAACAUUGGGAAUGAAGUGAGAAAGAAGGCCAACAGUUUGGAGCUUGUGAGCAAAGGUUCGUCACUGACUUGAGGGAUGCCAUGGCACAACGAGUCACAUUCAUUUCUAUCCUGCAAGGGCAUUCUGUCUUCAGGUUGUGAGGAGGGCAUGGUCAUUCGGGUGUCUUAAGUGGAGGCAAUGGGCAUCACAGUGUCCUUUAUCAUGCAGUGCUAGACAUGGUCAUCUCAGAUGGCCGCAAGGUAAUAGGUGAUGGAAGCAAACUACCUCAGAGCAUAAAAUCCAGUCAGCAGUCCCACAGAGAGCUCCCAAAAUGUGACAGAAGUAGUUGAAAUGAGAAUCAGUUCUCCUCCAAUCUCAUCUCCUCUUAUCCCAUCUCAAUAUUCAGGCAAUAGGAGCAUUGCAUACUGUGCUGUCCUGGGCUCUCCUUCCGUCCCUGACAACCUCUUUUCCUAGAAGUUUGCUGGGUAGGAAUCAUUAAAGUUCAAGGGGAAAGGCAGUGUCAAAUCCCACUACUAUGCCAGCCUGAGCAGCUUCUGAAUUAUCCAGGUGUCUGUAGAGGUCUUUUCCAUGAAAGCAAGAUUUGGUUCAUGAGUCAUUGUCCAUAUCUCAGCAAUAACUUUAGCAACCAAGUUUCCUUCCUCCUACAGUCACAAAGAGGAGUUUACAGGUAGAUGAAAGGCAGAUAGGGUGAUACUUCCAAUGUGGUGCCUCUUUCACUGCAAAUUCACAGUAAAAUUCUUCACCUAUGGAGACCAGGGAGGGCCUGCAGGUCUGUGCAGAGCAUGCAGAAAGAAGUCAGAGAGUGCCUGGUGAACUGACACUUCACACCAGUUUCUCAUUUUUAUCAGAUGAGUUGAAUCCUGCCAAACCAUGAAGCACACCUCUGCAGAGAGGUGCCUGAGGAAGCACUGCAUCUCAGAGAGAGAACACCUUAGUAAAAGAGAUAUGCUGGACAUUUUCUACUCAUUCAUUGUUAGAUUAAAAAGGACCCUGAAAAGUGUAUCUUACUGAAUUGUAUUGCACUUGUGGAUGGAUGCCAGACUAUUUCUCAGUUAGACUGAGAAAAUGUGCUGUGUUUAUAUAAGAA